AUGCACUUCUAUGACUUGAGU
rnacentral:miRNA from 1 species